GUGUGUUCACUUCUGUGCGUGCACUUGCACAGACUUAUACAUGUAUAUACAUACCAUACACACACACACACACAAACACACACACAC
rnacentral:miRNA from 1 species